rnacentral:misc_RNA from 1 species
UUUUUUUUUUUUACUCUGCAAUUGUUAACAGGAUUAACCCAACAAUCUGGUUCAGCAAUAUGGAUGAACAAUGCAUUAUCUUCUAAUAUAUAUGUUAUAUGCUAGUAGAGCUGUGAAACUCGUAGUCCUCUGUUUUCGCAUUAUCAGUUGAAUUGAGUAUUUCAAAUAGGCUUGUUGGCAUAUUCAAGGAACAGUUUAUUUACCCACAAAGUUGGUAGGAUUUAAGUUGAUUUGAAUCAAUGGUUUUGUUAGGAAG